GUCUGUUUCUUUGCUAAACAAUAUGACAGCAAGUCAUCAGGCAGAAAUAAAAUCAUCAUUGGUAUUAAUAAAGAGAUUUUGAGAAAGUAAAAAUACAUCAAAUAGGAGAAGCUUACAUGCCAUCUUGAAUUUCCUAGAAACUGAGUGACAUUCGAUGCAUGACCAACAUACACCGGAAACAAUACAAACCUGCAUAUUCUGUACACUCUCCUAAGUUGAAUCCUGAAUUUAGUAAGACAAUGGGACAACUCAAGAUAUAGCAACCUUCAAAUCCAUUACCCUUCAGUACCUGUACCUCCAAAUCCCUCGGUCACUAAUAGAACCAUGCUGUCGAAUACUUGUGCAGUAAAGUUCAGAGCAUGUUUGACAUCUACAGCUUUACCUAGUUCAACAAAUUCAUCACUCUAGCACCAGCCAGACGGGCCCUGCUGCUUCCCGAUUUGUUGCAUGACACUCAUGGAAAUCCCACUGGAUCGGGGAAGAAAAGAUUGGGGGGGCGCUCAAGUUGGAGCAGAUCUGACCUAGCAGGAAGUCGACCUAGCAGAGGACGUGCGCAGUUGGAGCAGGUAGAGGAUGCGCGGCUCCUCGAGGAGGACUCGUUCCGGCCGUGGGGAUGUGGAUCCAGACGGCGGAGCUUGGCAGGGGCGGCAGCGCUGGGAGGUGCAACCGACGGGGAAGGCGAGGGCGGCCGGAUCCGCAGGUGCUGGCGACGAACAAAGGCCGGGUCGGGCGCUCGGGGUCCUGAUGGGAGGAGGGUAGCCGGUGGCGGUGCUCGACAGCGGGGGGUGGCCAGGGGCGCACGGUGAGGCGGGCGGGCAGGAGGUGGGGGCGUGAGGCAGAGUCGUGCGGCUGGCUG
rnacentral:lncRNA from 1 species